AACUAAGUUUGUUCUGGGUAUAAGUUUUCAUGUGCAUGCACACUUCUUCAGAUACUUCUGACAAUUCUUCAGGUAUCUGAAGAAGUGUGCACGCACACGAAAGCUUAUACCCAGAACAAACUUAGUUGG